rnacentral:rRNA from 1 species
CAUGCGGCAGGCUACACAUGCAGUCGAGCGGAACAGGGGAAGCUUGCUUCUCGCUGACGAGCGGCGGACGGGUGAGUAAUGUAUGGGGAUCUGCCCGAGGGAGGGGGAUAACUACUGGAAACGGUGGUUAAUACCGCAUAAUCUCUUAGGAGCAAAGCAGGGGACCUUCCGGCCUUGCGCUGACGGAUGAACCCAUAUGGGAUUAGCUAGUAGGUAAGGUAAUGGCUUACCUAGGCGACGAUCCCUAGCUGGUCUGAAAGGAUGAUCAGCCACACUGGGACUGAGACACGGCCCAGACUCCUACGGGAGGCAGCAGUGGGGAAUAUUGCACAAUGGGCGCAAGCCUGAUGCAUCCAUGCCGCGUGUAUGAAGAAGGCCCUAGGGUUGUAAAGUACUUUCAGUCGGGAGGAAGGCGUUGAUGUUAAUACCAUCAACGAUUGACGUUACCGACAGAAGAAGCACCGGCUAACUCCCUGCCAUCAGCCGCGGUAAUACGGAGGGGGGGAGCGUUAAUCGGAAUUACUGGGCGUAAAGCGCACGCAGGUGGUUAAUUAA